rnacentral:rRNA from 1 species
GACGGAGGAUGCAAGUGUUAUCCGGAAUCACUGGGCGUAAAGCGUCUGUAGGUGGUUCGAAAAGUCCACUGUUAAAAAUUGAGGCUUAACUUCAAAGAUGCCGUGGAAACUUUCAAACUAGAGUAUGGUAGGGGUAGAGGGAAUUUCCAGUGGAGCGGUGAAAUGCGUAGAUAUUGGAAAGAACACCGAUGGCGAAGGCACUUUACUGGGCCGACACUGACACUGAGAGACGAAAGCUAGGGGAGCGAAUGGG